GACGAACCGUGCGAACGUUGUUCGGAAUCACUGGGCUUAAAGGGCGCGUAGGCGGGCCGGACGGUCCGCGGUGAAAUCCCCCCGCUCAACGGGGGAACGGCCGCGGAUACCGCCGGCCUCGAGGGGGGUAGGGGCGAGCGGAACGCUGGGUGGAGCGGUGAAAUGCGUUGAGAUCGGAAGGAACGCCCGUGGCGAAAGCGAGAUCCUGGACGUUUUCUGACGCUGAGACGCGAAAGCUAGGGUAGCGAACGGG
rnacentral:rRNA from 1 species